AUUGAACGCUGGCGGCAUGCUUUACACAUGCAAGUCGAACGGUAACAGGGUGCUUGCACCGCUGACGAGUGGCGAACGGGUGAGUAAUGCGUCGGAACGCACCGAGUAAUGGGGGGUAACGCAGCGAAAGCUGUGCUAAUAACGCAUACGCUCUGAGGAGGAAAGCGGGGGACCUUCGGGCCUCGCGUUAUUCGAGCGGCCGACGUCUGAUUAGCUAGUAGGUGAGGUAAGAGCUCACCUAGGCGACGAUCAGUAGUGGGUCUGAGAGGAUGAUCCGCCACACUGGGACUGAGACACGGCCCAGACUCCUACGGGAGGCAGCAGUGGGGAAUUUUGGACAAUGGGCGCAAGCCUGAUCCAGCCAUGCCGCGUGUCUGAAGAAGGCCUUCGGGUUGUAAAGGACUUUUGUCAGGGAGGAAAUCCUUAGCGCUAAUACCGUUGAGGGAUGACAGUACCUGAAGAAUAAGCACCGGCUAACUACGUGCCAGCAGCCGCCGUAA
rnacentral:rRNA from 1 species